UACAGAGGGGGCAAGCGUUAUUCGGAAUUAUUGGGCGUAAAGGGCGCGUAGGCGGCCUUGCAAGUGGAAGGUGAAAUCCCUCGGCUUAACCGAGGAACUGGCCUUCCAGACUGCUAGGCUUGAGACCGGAAGAGGAGAGUGGAAUUCCUGGUGUAGCGGUGAAAUGCGCAGAUAUCAGGAAGAACACCUAUGGCGAAGGCAGCUCUCUGGGACGGUACUGACGCUGAGACGCGAAAGCGUGGGGAGCGAACAGG
rnacentral:rRNA from 1 species